GCGCCGGUGGUCUAAUGGCAUGACUCAAGCCUUCCAAGCUUGCUAUCUGGGUUCAAAUCCCAGCCGGCGCA
rnacentral:tRNA from 1 species